GAUUGGGCGGCUGGGACGCGCGUGCUCCGGGGAGGGGAAGGCGCUUUCUGCUCCUCUGGCGGCCGGUCCCGGCUCGCUCUGGCCGCGUCUCUCGCCAGGCUCCCGGGCGGGGGCCUGGGUGUGACUGGCGCGCAGGAUGCCUGGAGCCGAAGCUGUCCGGCAGGAUUGGCUGCGUCCGUCUCCCUUUGGGGCCAGCGCGCCCCGCUAUCGGCGCCUCUCCGUGGCUGGUUAGCGGGUCGAUCUCUCUCUAGUUAGUCUCCAAGGCCGCCGGCUGGCGGGGAUUUCGGAGCGGGGUAACUGUGGCACGUGGAUAGUAACUUAAGCAGCAGCACCCAGAAUCUCCGAGCCGGGAAUUUACAGACGGUCUGCAGCCUCCCCAUCAUGUUCAUUUUUGUUAGCAGGGAGAGACUUUCCCUCGCCAGUCUAAAUGUGGGGAUUUAGAAGGAAGAUUUUAUUCCAGAGUCGUUUUGGCUACAAAUCUUUCAGCCAGAAUUAAACUGUUUACUCUUUUCGAGAUUACAGAGAGAGGGACAGCAUCUUUGAAGAGGUUUCACUGUUGGAAUGCUUCAGAUUAAUACAGCUACAGUUCUGCAGAUUUGUGUGCUGCUAUCUGCACUUCCUGUACAGUAUUUCAUAUCCCAGUGGUAUGGAACGGACUCUGUUCAGCGCCUCCAAGUGACACAAAGUGCUGGCCACUCUCCAAGAGAGGACUCUGGACGGGAUGAAGCACCGAUGGCAAUUUCCUACAGUCAGAGUAAAGGCAGGAAGCAUCUUGGCAUAAAAAUGGACUUCUUCAAAAAUUAGGAUAAUUGGCUAUUGGAACAGCUUUAUAAAGUCUUACUUGAGUCUGGAUGCAUGGACAGAUCAUCUAAAGCUGUGAAUAUCAAAGACAAGGAACUGUUACUAUGGAGAAAAGAGAACUCUAGGUGUUGAAGAUGAAGAAGAAAUCCAUGCUUAUUUUGCAGAAUCAACUCACAUUCACAGUCCAAAGCCAGAAUCUGUUCAGUUUAAUGUGGGACAGGUGAUAGUACACAGAAGAUUUGGCUAUUCAGGAGUCAUUGUUGGCUGGGACGUAAAAGCUAGAGCUCCAGAAGAAUGGCUGCAGCACAAAUAUCCUCCAGAUAAACAGGGUCUAAGAGAUACUCCUCACUACCGAAUUCUUAUUAACCAAACCAACAGCUUUGGCAAGUCUACAGUUUAUAUUCCUGAGGAGGAGAUAACAAUUAUUAUGGGAUUAGAGAUACGCAAUCCUGAUCUGACAACUUACUUCAGUAGAUAUGAUGGAUCUAAAUACAUUAUGCAACCAUGGUUGAGAAAAAUCUACCCUCAUGACUGAAGUAUUUAACAUUAUACGUAAAUUGUGCAUCUGAUGUACAACUGCACAGUACAUUCCUUUUUUUAAACUGGGACAAAUGGAACCAGGGUAAAACUGAUUUGUAAAUUAUUUCAUUAAAGAAAUAAAAUUGAACUUCUGUAUGAAA